UCAGUGAAGAACAAAUUCUUAUUUACAAUGACGACCUAGUAACAGUGAGUUAACUGUCUUGUUCAGGGGCAGAACGAUAGAUUAUUAGCAUGUCAACUCGGGAUUAGGUCUAACAACCUUUCGGUUACUAGUCCAACGCUCUAACCGCUAGUCUACCUGCCGCCCCGAUCGUCACUUUUGGAAUUUUUAAGCAUUUAUGAAAAAAUACAUAAAGGCUUCAUAAUUUAUAAUACUCAGGUUAACUGGCUGAUUGUCUUAUGAACAAAUCCUAUAAAAUAUCAACCUGUGUUAAUCUCAGACCUUAUUUCAGAGUUUAUUCCAAACCCCUAUUCUUUCCCCAUUAAUUUUGCCGAUAGGAAUUUCUGAACGAACCAGAGGUAAAUAAUGUACGUUUUUUAGGACUACAAGCUGGCUAGCUCUAUAUUGCACAAUAUAUAGUCAAAUAUUUUUUACAACUAACCCAUGAUAGACGUUUCCAAUGUGAUUAAAUUAAUCAUUGUGGGCAGAACAAGCAAAGGAGCCGUUUCAAAUAUUUUUAAUUGGAAAAUAUUUUAGAAGCAUUCAUUGAUGUCUAUUGAUUAAAAAAUUAUGCAAUAUGAUUCUAAAUAUAACAUAUGUCUUGAAUACUGUCAUAUACACAGCAUUUUAACAUAAUAUUCUAACAAACCACCUGAAGAUGCAGGAAUCAAUGCUAUUUGUGACAUUGUUUCAUUGAUGAGUCAGUCUAGGUAAAUCAUUAGAUCUGAUAGCAAAAAUGUACAAAUUAAAUGGGUCCACCCAAUAGAAUGCAGCAUUGUUGUUUGAUAGUAAUUUUCCAUGAGCAUGUGAACAUUCCAACUGGUUUCAACAUUAUUUUAUCAGCCUGCAUACACUUUUGUAUAGACUCCCAUAUAACAAGAUGUAAAGGUGUGAAAAACAUAGAACGCUACUUUUUUGGAGACAUCAUAUAACUGUCACGGGCUUCGUAAGAAGUAGACCAAACUGUGGCGUACAUUUCUGUUUAUUUAGGUAAAUGACGCCAACAAAGACACGACCGUGAAGCUUAACAUAGUCAACUACCCACAAAACAACAGGGAAAGAAGGCUGCCUAAGUAUGAUUCCCAAUCAGAGAAAACUAUAGACAGCUGUCCCUGAUUGAGAACCAUACCCGGCCAAAACAUAGAAGCACAAAAACCUAGAAAAGAAAACAGAAUGCCCACCCAAAUCACACCCUGACCAAACCAAAAUAGAGACAUAAAAGGCUCUCUCAGGUCAGGGUGUGACAAUAGCAAUUUGAUCAGGGGCUUGUGGGGAACAAUUUAAUAACAUCAAACCUUUGCCACCUCAAAGUGGACACAUUUGGACUAUUAUGCCAUUUAGCAGAUGCUUUUUUAUCCAAAGCAGUUUACAGUUGUGCGUGCAUAAUGUUUAUGUAUGGCUGGCCCCAGAAGGAAUCAAACUAUCAACCCUUGGCAUUGUAAGCUCCAUGCUUUACCAACUGAACCAUCUGGCCCAUACAGCUCGAAGAUGGCCCUGUUGAGUACGCCAGCAGCAGGUGGUGAGGGAAGGAGAAGGUAGCUAAUCAAUGGGUAUCGUUUCAAUGUUGUAUGAGUGAUCCUUUUCAUUUAUAUAUGAUCUACUAACUGCAAUAAAGAGGGAGCUCCAGAUUUGGCAGUAAUGGCAUAAAGUGGAAGGGUUUUGGACCAUCUGUUCCACAAAAUGAAACCAAAUAAACAAGUAUAGCUAUGUUUGUUUGUAUUUUUGUUGAAAGUUUGACCUUUGACUAUACCUCUCACAGGUGGCUGCAAGCAGGCAGGUUUCAGAGUCUGGGUGUAACCCCUCCCCUCUAAUCCACUUCCAAACCCACUAGGCCCUCCUUGAGAAGUCUCAGGUCUACAUCACAGCUUUGUGGACUGUUUGCAUUUACACUGAUGAAUGGCAUAUUGGCAGGCGAGGAGUAAAGAGUGGAGGGCCAUCUUCCCUGAGGGUCUGCCUCCCUCCUAUGUGUUUGUGGCCAAGAGCCCCACCGGCCGUGAGAAGUUGGACCUGAUCAGAGUGCUCUCUCAGGACAGGCUGAAACAGUUUGUUGUGACACUCAAUGGGCUGGACAAGUCUGCCACCUUCACCAUCACAACCAGCAGUGUCAUCAAGAAAGAACAGUGUGUCAUAUUCAAUGAUCGAGGCAUUAAGGUCUGUAGAAACACACUGAAAUAAUGACCCCAAAACCUUAGGACUGGUUUCCUGGACACACAUUAAUCCUAGUACUGGGCUUUAAAGCAUAUUAAAUGGAUAGCUUAAAACUUCUUAGGGCUAGGUGUCAAUGGGACACCCGUCGACAACUUCUGGUGAAAUUGGAGGGGGCGAGAUACAAAAACUGAGGCUUUACUGCGAUCCUGAGCAAAUUGAGGAAGAGACGGCGUGUGAUAUACACUCUGUGGUGAGUGUAAUGAUACUGUAACUACGAUACUCAUUGUUUACUUCCAUAUGUCACUGAAGGUUGAGGUUUAAUGCAGGGAGCCAAAGAUACAAUUAUCAUCUUCAUAUCAUUAUCUCUCUCUGUUUAUUUCUAUACAGGAGGAUGACAGGGGGAGUAUGCUUGUUGGUUGUCUAUGUGUUGCUCAGUUUUUACAGUACAUUUGUACACUUGUUGCGUUGUCCCUGUUAUGUUAAACUGUUUUCUGCCCCCAGUGUCUCCUGGACAGACAACCUGCAGCAGUGGAGAGCUGUAACUGCCCCAGGGGAAACCUGGGCCUCCUGGUCUUCCUGGGCCUAUUGUGAUUAAGUAAUACCAUGUUAGACUAGAAAAGUACAUUUCCUGAAGAAAAUGUGGUGUGCUUGCUAGCUUGUUUUAAUGUAUUUAUGGUUAUGAGGUAAGUUAUAGUAGUGGUAGUGACUGCAGUAGAAAUGGUAGUGACUGGUUAUAGUUGAAAAAGUAGGUAGAUGAAGAGAUUGGUUGGUUGUUUGAUUUAUUUGGAUGGGAUAAGAUAGGAUAGCAUGAACAUUUGAAAGUUGUUUUUGUGUGUCUAACAGUUCAAAAGUUACUGUUGGCGAGUUAUUUUAUGCAAAUGUAUGCACAUUUAUAUAGUUAUAGUUAUAAUUUUAUGUUAGGAUAGCCUGAACAUGUGAAAGUUGAUUUGGUUUAUUUCCAUUGAAAUGGAUUGGAUUUUAAAUAUUGUCGUAGUUCAAAAAGUAAAAAUACUAUCAAAAAUGUUUUCUCAAGCAAUCUAAGUUGGGGACGUAUGCACAUCUGAAAGUUUGUUUCGUGGUAAUAUCUUAAAGCGUUUAAGCGCAAGAGUGAGCCAUAUAAAUAAAACAAUUAUUUGACUAUGUAAGAAAUCUAAAGUUGUGCUUUGCCUUCAGCAAGAAGGAAUGGAAACACUGUACACCUGGUGACCGUGUCAGUGUGCCCAGCGCCCGGCCCACCACAGGAGUCGCUAGUGCGCAAUGAGACAAGGACAUCCCAGCUGGCCAAACCUUCCUGUAACUCGGAGGACGCUGGUCGAUUGCAUGAAGGAUUAAUUGAUUGAGGAAAUUGAUGGAUCAUUUAUUGAGAUUUUUUUUUUAAAUGGCUCUACAAAAUGCAAACUCUUUUAUGAGAUGGGUACAGCUACUUCAUAGCAUGUCUGUUUGACCGCUGUAGGGCUUCCAAGGUGAGAAUGGGAGGGAGGGGUCACCUGGUACUGACGUUAAGCCUGGCCAAGCUCCCAGCCCUCCAGGAUCUCUGUAUCAGGCGGUGUGAAAGGAAGGCCUGGGAAAAUCUUUAGAGACUCCAGCUACCCAAGCCAUAGACUGUUCUCUCUGCUUCCGCACGGCAAGUGGUACCGCUGCACCAAGUCUGACACCAACAGGCUCUUGAACAGCUUCGAUCCCCAAGCCAUAAGACAACUAAAUAGUUAUUUUUGCACUGUCUCUAUGCACACUUACAGGAUGCUACACACUCAAGCACACUGACACACACACACGCAGACACACACAGGCAGACACACUCACUUUAUUUGCUUACACGCACAUAUGUACACACAUUUAUACACACUCAAAUACAAUCAUCAUAUACGCUGCUGCUACUCUUUUUAUCAUAUAUCCUGAUGCCAAUUCACCUUACCCCUAUACAUAUCUACCUCUAUCACUCCAGUAUCCCUGUACAUUGUAAAUAUGAUAUUGGAACUGACCCUGCAUAUAGCUUACUUCUCGUGUUCUUCUUAUUUUAAUUUAGUUUGUUUUUGUUCUACCUUAUUUUACUUUUAGUGCUACAUUGAUAUUGAUUACUGGGUUUAGAGUUUGCAAGACAUACAUUUCACUGCACUUGUGACUGUGACAUUAAAACUUGAAACGUGACACUACA